rnacentral:ncRNA from 1 species
CACAAAGGUUUGGUCCCGGCCUUGACAUUAAUUGUUACUAAACUUACACAUGCAAGCCUCCACACCCCGGUGAGUACUAUUCCUACCUCCUCCUGGGGGUAGAAAACAGGCAUUAGGCUCAACCCCUUAGCCCAAGACACCUAGCCCAGCCACACCCACAAGGACUUCAGCAGUGAUUAACAUUGAACAUAAGCGACAGCUUGAUUCAAUUAUAGUAAAAUAGAGUUGGCAAAGUUAGUGCCAGCCGCCGCGGUCACACUACAUCAACUCAAAUUAAUUUCUAUCGGCGUAAAGCGUGAUUAAAGCACUUCCCACCACUAGAGUUAAACAUAAAUUUUUCUGUUCAAACCUCAUUUAUAAGAAACACCACAACGAAAGUCACUCUAAACUAAUCUACUUGAACUCACGACAGCAGGAAAACAAACUGGGAUUAGAUACCCCACUAUGCCUGCCACAAACUUUAACUUACACCUAAAUCGCCAGGGUACUACGAGCAAUGCUUAAAACCCAAAGGACUUGACGGUGACCCAUAUCCCCCUAGAGGAGCCUGUCCUAUAAUCGAUAAUCCACGUUUAACCUCACCACUUCUAGCUACUCAGUCUGUAUACUUCCGUCGCCAGCUUACCACGUGAGUGCCCCUCAGUACAGCAAAAUGGUAACACAUAUGCCUAAGCCGCAUACUAACGCCAACACGUCAGGUCAAAGUGCAACUCAUGAAGUGGAAAGAGAUGGGCUACACUUUUUAUUGUAAAAGAAACGAAAACCUUAAAUGAAACACGGUCAGAAGGCGGAUUUAGAAGUAAAAACAGAUCACAAUACUCUUUUUAACCCAACACCUGGGUCGCGUACACACCGCCCGUCACCCUCUUCAAUUAACAAAAACAAGUUACUAACAAGAAAAAACCCCGAAGAAGAGGCAAGUCGUAACAUGGUAAGUAUACCGGAAGGUGUGCUUGGAA